GGGCCCGUGGCUCAAUGGUAGAGCGUUCGACUCAAAUACCAAAGGUCGCGGGUUCGAAUUCCAUGUGGUUCCC
rnacentral:tRNA from 1 species